CCUACGGGCGGCAGCAGUGAGGAAUAUUGGUCAAUGGACGCAAGUCUGAACCAGCCAUGCCGCGUGCAGGAAGACGGCCCUAUGAGUUGUAAACUGCUUUUGUACGAGGGCAAACGCAGCUACGCGUAUCUGUCUGAAAGUAACGUACGAAUAAGGAUCGGCUAACUCCGUUCCAGCAGCCGCGGUAAUACGGAGGAUUCAAGCGUUAUCCGGAUUUAUUGGGUUUAAAGGGUGCGUAGGCGGAGCGUUAAGUCAGUGGUAAAAUUGAGGGGCUCAACCCCUUCCCGCCAUUGAAACUGGCGUUCUUGAGUGGAAGAGAAGUAUGCGGAAUGCGUGGUGUAGCGGUGAAAUGCAUAGAUAUCACGCAGAACCCCGAUUGCGAAGGCAGCAUGCCGGCUUCCGACUGACGCUGAAGCACGAAAGCGUGGGGAUCGAACAGGAUUAGAUACCCUAGUAGUC
rnacentral:rRNA from 1 species